GAUACAUAUAAAUAUAGAUAGAUAGAUAUAGAUUAUAACUUAUUAAUUAUAAAUAUUAAAUUACAUAUUCAAUAAAAGAAUUAGAAAAUUUAAAUGGGCCAACAUCCAACACAAGUUGCAACAAUCUAAUGUGAGGUCCUGCAGGCCCAGUAUAGUCCAUAUUUCCUGGGCCAGGGCUCAGACCUGCAUGGGCAUGGCGUCUAACUCUGAAUCCAGCAGGCCGAGCUUGUUGUUCCUGCUUCCUGGCCCAUUACAAACUCCCAGGGCCAAGCCCCGCCCGGAUGCCAUGCAGGCACAGCCCGAAUAAAAGAAACUGUUCUGUUAGCCCUCUAUUUAUCAUUUAUGAAGAAAAGCAAAAGCCACCAUUUCUAGCCAAAACACUUUGACAAGUAAAAUUCAGCAUAUAUGUUGCAGCAUUUUAGCUCCCAGUUGUCAAGGAGGCAUAUCUGUCAGAAAAUCUUUGAUUAGAACAGAAGGGAAAAGAUGGAACGAAACAGAACAGAAGCAGAAGCAGCAACUUCCAGAGAAGUUGGAAAAUUUAUGUCCUAACUACAACAUUGUAAGCUAUUGAGCAUAAGAUGAUUUAUAUUCCAACAUUUCAGUCCUGUAUCUCUCCUUGUCCUUCAUACCCUUCUCCUGAUAUACCUGCUUUUCUGCCUCUGUGAGGCUGUUCCAUAGCAGCCCAAUCUUCUUGCUAAUAACUCUCUCUUCUCCAUGGUAUAGAGGCUUGAGUUGAGUAUAAUGUUCAGCAAAGAAGAAAUUGUAACCACUCUCAUUAGACUUGGGCUGAGAGUGAUCGCGUACCAAUAACCGAGAUCUUUUUUGGUGCCGGUGAGGAGGUAAAUCUGAAGUAUGAGAACUCUGAGACGUGUGAAGUUCAUUAGGAAUAUGAUACAAGACACCUUUAAGUUGAUCAAAGCCCAAGUUCACAGUAACCAGAUAUCCAUCAUCAAAUUUCCCAUCAAUCAAUCCAGUCACUGAAGAGCCAAGCUGCAAUUCCAGACCUGCAACCAAAAUAGUUACAAAUACUCACUACUACAGUUGUCAUACAAGAGGCCUAAAACUUUCACCAGACAAACAAAUAGAAGGAACAUAGAUAUAGAUUAGUAAAACAAAUCAAUAAUUUCAAGGUAAACUGAUAAGACUUAAGAGGUAGCUUCCAAAAUAAAAUUCCACCAUUUUUGUUACAUAAUCAUAAGUGGGGAGUUUUAGAGUAGAAGGAAAAUUGUACAUGCUCAAUGAUCAAUUUAUUUAUUGACAACUCAAAUGGAUAUAAAUGAUGAGAGCAGUAAAUUUAUUUCUCAGUGCUUUAUGUUGCAACUUCACAGGCUUUUCAAGUUGUCAAGAAAAGGGUAUUUGGCAAGCACCAAAAUUGCAAACAAUAUCCACAUUGCAAAUUUAUUAAAAGAAAAAAACAAUGGGAAAUGACUUUUAAUUGGGGCCUCAAACAUGAUGCAUGGGAAUCUUUUAAAUUGGCCACUGGCACACAUUCAGUCAAGUGCUACAACUGACACAAAAGCUACAGACUUCUCCUGGAACUUAUUAUUACCAAAUGAUACUGUUGACCAAUAAAUAGGGUCAUUUCUCUUUUAUCAUAUGUUUUCUUUUAAAAUAUCUAUACAACCUCAAAAUAUAUUGGGUAGGUUCAUAAGAUCAUGACAAAACAUCAUCUCUACCUCUAUUGCUAGUUCAAGAAACACUACAAGUCUACAAUCCACACAAACAUGAAGACAAGAAAAUAAAGGCUAGUGUGAUAGAGCUAUUACAUCAAAAUGCAGCAACACUUGUCCUCACCUGUGAGCUGAUUCAUAGUGGCAACUUCAUUUUGAGCUGCAGAUUCAUUAAAAAAAUCCCCAUUCACAGUAUCUGUGAAAAGGGAAACAAAAGCUAUACAUGUCCAAUCCACAUGGCAAUACACAAACAUAUUCAACUGGAAAACCAUGAAUCUUAUGUGUAAGUAC
rnacentral:misc_RNA from 1 species